ensembl:lncRNA
CCUCUGCAGCGGCCGCAGCCACAGCCUCCCGACGCCGAAACCCCGCCCCACCUGCUGGAAGCCCCGCCCCAUAGGCCCGCCUCUCGAGGCCCCGCCCAGUAGGCCCGCCCCUCGCACUUAAACCCCGCCCUCACUAGAAGCCCCGCCCCGCCUCGCCGCCCGCGAGGCCUCAGUCCCCGAGCGGUAGCCGCGCUGGAUCCCGGUGGCGGUCUCCGCGCGGCCGGAAGCCCACGCGGGCGGUGGUGGGGAGGGGCCGCGCGGGCCUGGGGAGGGGCAGCCCUCGGGGAGGUGGAAGCAGGGUCGGUGCACGGCGCUCCUUUGGGAACCCAGCCUGCUGCCUGACCGGAAAAGACCCCCGAGGACCACCUCCUCCUUCCCUCUGAGAGCAGAAAGGAAAAGGCUGCAGGCCUCCUCACCCCAGGUGUUAGCAGGACACCGGAAUCGAGCAGAGACGGGAGGGAGGGCGAGCGCUGACCCACGUCCCUCCCCAGCCCCCCUCAGGGGUCGCUUCUGGAAGCCCCCUCGGCAGAGCUCUUCGUCUGCCUUCCUUUGUAGGUGGCCGGGCGCCCAGGAUCGCAAGCCAUUUAGCACCUCUGGAGGUCAAAGCACUGUCUGCGAAGAGAAAUACACACGUGGCAAAGCCUCUGCCUAUCAAUCUGGAGGGAAACGCAAACACGCUGGGACCUGCCAGCCAGCCUGAUGGGAGCAGCAGCACCUGGGUGUGUGGACGCUUUCGUGAACACAGGAGGACAUCCCGGGAGGUAUCAGGGCAAAAAAGGCUACCAAAAUAAUAGAGUCAGUUUUCCUCCUGCCUCUGCAGCCUUGGGUGAAUGUGUAUGUGAAACACAGAUCACCGCUAAUGUGUCCCCAGUUCAGAUUUCUGCAUCUGCAAGUUCAGAAUUAUGGUGAUUUUGACAAGGAGGAGACUACAAUGUAAAUGAGAAGAACCAUCAUAUCUGAAAGAAGUAGGCAGCAAUUCCAAGAUACUAUAAAAAGUCGGCAGAUUUGUAUCGUUUCUGUCAUGCAUGCCAUUUUUUUACUCUGGUGGAAAUUAAGGCAGGAACUUCUGUGUUACAAAAUAUUUUAAUAGUUUAAUAGUUCCACCUCUGUGAUUGCUUGCAAAGUAGCCAUAAAUUCUGCCCAUUCCUGCAAUGUGAUUUUACAGACCUUCUCAUGAAGAAAUGAAGUAUUUUUCUCUAAGCUUUGAGUCUGGGCUUGGCCACGUGACUUGCUUUGGCCAGUGGGACAUUAGCAAAGAUGAUGCAAGCAAAGACUUGGAGAAAGCUUGUGGCAUUGAGCUUCCUUUCUCAUUCUACUCUUUGCUCUUCACUAAUCACCAAGUGUAGAAACCUAGACUUGCUGGUUAGAGGAUGAGACACCCUGUGGAGCUGAGAUGGGUUAUCCCAGCUGAGCUCCUCCACCCCCCAGCCUGCCAGCUUAUGAGUGGAGGCAUCCUAGACCAUCCAACCCCAAACGACUCAGCUCAUAUCAGAAGAACCACUCAGCCUACCCACCGAGUCAUGAGAAAGAAUAAAGGUCACUGUUUUAAGCCAC